rnacentral:rRNA from 1 species
CGCUUUUUGUUAUAUAAAAAUAAAAAGUAGAGCCUGCCCAGUGAAGUUAAGUUUAAACGGCCGCAGUACCCUGACUGUGCGAAGGUAGCAUAAUCAUUUGCUCUUUAAUUAGGAGCUGGAAUGAACGGUUUGACGAGGGCUUAACUGUCUUAAUUUAAUUUAUUAGAAAUUGAUUUUUAGGUGAAGAAGCCUAAAUUUUACUAUAGGACAAGAAGACCCUAUUGAGCUUUAAUUUGUUUGUUAAGUUAUUGAUAUAUUAUAAUAAAAUUUAGAUUAAUAGAUGAUUUGAAUUGGGGCGAUUAAGGAAAAAAAUAAACUUCCUUUAAAAUAUUGAAAGUUAAUUUAAUUAGUGAUCCAGGAGUAUUAUAAUUCUGAUUAAAAGAAUAAGUUACCAUAGGGAUAACAGCGUAAUCUUUUUUGAGAGUUCUUAUCGAAAAAAAGGGUUGCGACCUCGAUGUUGGACUAAGGUAUCCUGAGGGUGUAGCAGUUCUCAAUGGUUGGUCUGUUCGACCAUUAAAACCUUACA